UUUAUUCUCAGUAUUUUCUUUUAAGAUAUAAAUGAGACAUCUGGUUGGCGCACAUGUAAUUUUAAAAUAGUUUAUACUGAAGUGUCUACCUGGCCUCCCUGCUUUCCCCACCCCUUCCUCACUGCAUUCCAUCCACUACAUCACUGGCAAAGUUAUCCUUUGAAAAGAAUAAUUGAUCCUGACAAAAGUCAAACAUGAUUGUCGGGAAGUAUCCCAGUUGAACCAAAACAAAUGUAAUGGAAAAAGAAUGGAAGAUGCUUCAAAAUGUCAGAAAUGCUUAUUAUCCCACAGUAAAAAUUUUGAUUCCUAAAUCAUGAAGAUAAGUAAAAGAAUCUGGAUAUUUGAGAAAAUUUGGAAAAUGAAAAUGCAACAACAUGGGAAAUUAUGAAAAUUGUGAAAAUCAGUAAAUUUUUAUAUACUAAGUAAAAACAUGGAUUUGAGAAAUAGUGAAAAAAUAUAUACAAUUUGUAUAAACAAACUGGUUAAUGAGUUUUGUCAACAUAAGGAGCAUUUAAGAUUGGACUUGAACAAGAAAAUGUGACCUGCUAUGAAAUUACACAGCUUGUAUAUAAAAUCAGAAGCUGGAUGGAGGUUUAGUCAAUUUU